AAAUAUACAAUAUCCUAUACAAAUAUGAGUUCGGCUACUAUACUAUCGAUAGUUCCCAGCGCUUGAUACUAUCGAGUUUUCCGCUGUUAGAUCUGUCCCUCUGACCAUUUCCAUCCAUUAGAUCAUAUUAUUCAACCAACCACCCACUCAACCUUAAGUGACCACUAUCAUCGUAAUCACACAUUCCUUCAUCUAAGGGCUGAAAAUCUACAAGCACUCGAUAGUUUUAAUAGUAUAGUAGCCUAGUUCAUGCAAAUAUAACCUCAAAGAGAAGAAAUACUAAUUGUAGGAUUUACAAUUAAAAAUUAGUUACAGAUGUAGCUUGGCUUUAAAAAAAAUGAGCUAUGAGAAAAUACUCUCUGCUCUUGAAAAUGGUGCACAACUAAAAAAACGAGCGAAUGUAUUAGUAUAUUUUCUACACCACAUGCUUCUUUAAAAUUCUAUAAGAAAAUUUUCUCACAUCUAAAAUUUAGAAUUAUGUUACUAUACUAUAAACAGUAUUAAGCACUUGGUACUGUUAGAUCUUCGGUCUUUGGAUGAAGAGAUGUGUAGUUAGAAUAAUAGUAGUCCCCGGUUAGAAUGAUAGUAGUCUUCUAGGAAUGAGUAGGUAAUUGGUCGAAUAAUAUGAUCUAAUGAGUAGAAAUGGCCAAAGAGAUAAAUCUAAUGGUGGCAAACUCAAUAGCACCAAGCGCUGGCACUGUCGAUAAUAUAGUAGCCGAACACCUAAAAUUUAACAUAUUGAAUUAUGUUAUGUUAUAUUUAAAGCGUAUAAUUCGUGAAAAUCAUAAAUUUUGAACAUUUAUUUUUCUUACAAUAUUAAAU
rnacentral:lncRNA from 1 species